rnacentral:tRNA from 1 species
GCUUUAGUGGUGAAAUUGGUAAACACACUGAAUUUAAAAUUCAGUGCACUUUGUGCUUGUAAGUUCAAGUCUUACCUAAAGUA